CCUACGGGAGGCAGCAGUGAGGAAUAUUGGUCAAUGGGCGAGAGCCUGAACCAGCCAAGUAGCGUGAAGGAUGACUGCCCUAUGGGUUGUAAACUUCUUUUAUAAGAGAAUAAAGUCAGUUACGUGUAACUGUUUGCAUGUAUCUUAUGAAUAAGGAUCGGCUAACUCCGUGCCAGCAGCCGCGGUAAU
rnacentral:rRNA from 1 species